CCUACGGGAGGCUGCAGUGAGGAAUAUUGGUCAAUGGGCGAGAGCCUGAACCAGCCAAGUCGCGUGAGGGAGUACUGCCCUAUGGGUUGUAAACCUCUUUUGCCGGGGAGCAAAAGCCGGACGUGUCCGGCUGUGAGAGUACCCGAAGACAAAGCAUCGGCUAACUCCGUGCCAGCAGCCGCGGUAAUACGGGGGUUGCGAGCGUUAUCCGGAUUCAUUGGGUUAAAGGGGGGCGCAGGCGGAUUUUUAAGUCAGCGGUAAAAUCGUGGGGCUCAACCCCAUCCAGCCGUUGAAACUGGAGAUCUAGAGUGUGCGAGAGGUAUGCGGAAUGCGUGGUGUAGCGGUGAAAUGCAUAGAUAUCACGCAGAACCCCGAUUGCGAAGGCAGCAUACCGGUGCACAACUGACGCUCAGGCACGAAAGCGUGGGUAUCGAACAGGAUUAGAUACCCUAGUAGUC
rnacentral:rRNA from 1 species